GGAUGUGAGGGCGAUCUGGCUGCGACAUCUGUUACUCCACUGAUCACCAGGGUUGAUUUGGCUGAUCUAGCUGGCUAGGCGGGUGUCCUCUUCCUCCUUCACCAUUCCAGGUGUGUCCCUCCCAAAGCUGUGUGCUCAGUCGAAGAGGAUGACCUUCCUUGAUAGAGAAUAGGACUAUUCUUCGGUCAAGGGUAUACGAGUAGAUGAGCUCUCCUGCUAGAACCUCCAAACAAGCUCCCAAGAAAAAGCUAAAGAAGUUCAUCAUCACCAAACCAGUAUUACAAGAAAUAUUAAAGAAACUUCUUU
ensembl:misc_RNA 7SK 7SK RNA